rnacentral:tRNA from 1 species
GGCGGCGGUGGACGGAGGCCUUGCGGUCACGCCGGCUCGCGUCCGGCGCGGCCGGGGCCCCGCCGGGUCCCCUUCGGCCGCCGCGCCC